rnacentral:rRNA from 1 species
AGCAGCCGCGGUAAUUCCAGCUCCAAUAGCGUAUAUUAAAGUUGUUGCAGUUAAAAAGCUCGUAGUUGAAUUUCGGGAUUGACGUGAUGGUCAUGCCUUAAGGGGUAUGAACUGUUACUGUUGAUUUCUCACCUUCUGGAGAAACUUGAUGUCCUUUAUUGGGUGUCUUGCGGAUCCAGGACCUUUACCUUGAAAAAUUAGAGUGUUUAAAGCAGGCAUUUUUGCUCGAAUACAUUAGCAUGGAAUAAUAGAAUAGGACGGCAUGGUUCUAUUUUGUUGGUUUCUAGGAUCACCGUAAUGAUUAAUAGGGAUAGUUGGGGGCAUUAGUAUUCAAUUGUCAGAGGUGAAAUUCUUGGAUUUAUUGAAGACUAACUACUGCGAAAGCAUUUGCCAAGGAUGUUUUCAUUAAUCAAGAACGAAAGUUAGGGGAUCGAAGACGAUCAGAUACCGUCGUAGUCUUAACCAUAAACUAUGCCGACUAGGAAUCAGACGAUGUUAAUUUUUAAUGU